GACGAACGCUGGCGGCGUGCCUAAUACAUGCAAGUCGAGCGGACAGAAGGGAGCUUGCUCCCGGAUGUUAGCGGCGGACGGGUGAGUAACACGUGGGUAACCUGCCUGUAAGACUGGGAUAACUCCGGGAAACCGGAGCUAAUACCGGAUAGUUCCUUGAACCGCAUGGUUCAAGGAUGAAAGACGGUUUCGGCUGUCACUUACAGAUGGACCCGCGGCGCAUUAGCUAGUUGGUGAGGUAACGGCUCACCAAGGCGACGAUGCGUAGCCGACCUGAGAGGGUGAUCGGCCACACUGGGACUGAGACACGGCCCAGACUCCUACGGGAGGCAGCAGUAGGGAAUCUUCCGCAAUGGACGAAAGUCUGACGGAGCAACGCCGCGUGAGUGAUGAAGGUUUUCGGAUCGUAAAGCUCUGUUGUUAGGGAAGAACAAGUGCAAGAGUAACUGCUUGCACCCUGACGGUACCUAACCAGAAAGCCACGGCUAACUACGUGCCAGCAGCCGCCGUAACAC
rnacentral:rRNA from 1 species